rnacentral:rRNA from 1 species
UAGGGAAUCUUCCACAAUGGACGCAAGUCUGAUGGAGCAACGCCGCGUGAGUGAAGAAGGUUUUCGGAUCGUAAAGCUCUGUUGUUGGUGAAGAAGGAUAGAGGCGGUAACUGGUCUUUAUUUGACGGUAAUCAACCAGAAAGUCACGGCUAACUACGUGCCAGCAGCCGCGGUAAUACGUAGGUGGCAAGCGUUGUCCGGAUUUAUUGGGCGUAAAGCGAGCGCAGGCGGAAUGAUAAGUCUGAUGUGCAAGCCCACAGCUCAACUGUGGAACUGCAUCGGAAACUGUCAUUCUUGAGUGCAGAAGAGGAGAGUGGAAUUCCAUGUGUAGCGGUGAAAUGCGUAGAUAUAUGGAAGGACGCCAGUGGAGAAGGCGGCUCUCUGGUCUGCAACUGACGCUGAGGCUCGAAAGCAUGGGUAGCGAACAGG